AGAUUAAGCCAUGCAUGUGUCAGUACAAACUAAAUUAGAGUGAAACCGCGAAUGGCUCAUUAAAUCAGCUAUGAUUCAUUGGAUCUGUACACCCAGUUUUCCUUGGAUAACUGUGGUAAUUCUAGAGCUAAUACAUGCACAUAUAGUCCCUAACCUCCUCUCUUGUCUAAGAUGAGAGAGAGAGGGAAGGGCGCUUUUAUUAGUAUCAAAACCGGUCGGACUACGGUCUGUUAACCUAUUUGAUGACUCUGGAUAACUUUGGGCUGAGCGCACGGUCUUUUGCACCGGCGCCGCUUCUUUCAAGUGUCUGCCUUAUCAGCUUUCGAUUGUAUGUUAUGUGCCUACAAUGGCUAUAACGGGUAACGGGGAAUCAGGGUUCGAUUCCGGAGAGGGAGCCUGAGAAACGGCUACCACAUCUAAGGAAGGCAGCAGGCACGCAAAUUACCCACUCCCGGCAUGGGGAGGUAGUGACGAAAAAUAACGAUGCGAGACUCAUCCGAGGCUUCGCAAUCGGAAUGAGUACACUUUAAAUCCUUUAACGAGGAUCAAUUGGAGGGCAAGUCUGGUGCCAGCAGCCGCGGUAAUUCCAGCUCCAAUGGCGUAUAUUAAAGCUGUUGCGGUUAAAAAGCUCGUAGUUGGAUUUCAGUAUUGGACUGAUGAGUUUUUUCACCUUCUGGUGAUUAAACGGAAUCAAGCUUCAAAACCUGCUACCACAAUAAUUACAUUGUGUGUUGCUCAACUAGCUCACACGGGGUGCUCUUAAUCGAGUGUCCCGAGUGGCUGGUAUGUUUACUUUGAAAAAAUUAGAGUGCUCAGAGCAGGCUACAAAUGGCCUGAAUGUCUAUGCAUGGAAUAAUAUAAGAUGACCUCGGUUUUAUGUUUUACCGCGUUUCUUUUGGAAACCCGAGGUAAUGAUUAAUAGAACCAGGUCAGGGCUAUUAGUACUGCGACGCUAGAGUGAAGAGUUUCAUUAAUCAAGAACGAAAGUUAGAGGUUCGAAGGCGAUCAGAUACCGCCCUAGUUCUAACCAUAAACGAUGCUAACCAGCGAUCCGCCGUAGUUAUUCCCAUGACUCGGCGGGCAGCUUCUGGGAAACCAAAGUCUUUGAGUUCCGGGGGAAGUAUGGUUGCAAAUCUGAAACUUAAAGGAAUUGACGGAAGGGCACCACCAGGAGUGGAGCCUGCGGCUUAAUUUGACUCAACACGGGAAACCUCACCAGGCCCAGACACUGGAAGGAUUGACAGAUUGAGAGCUCUUUCUCGAUUCAGUGGGUGGUGGUGCAUGGCCGUUCUUAGUUGGUGGAGCGAUUUGUCUGGUUAAUUCCGAUAACGAACGAGACUCUGGCCUAUUAACUAGUCGACGGAUUUCCAAACCAUGCAAUUGGUGUCCAGUUCGCAACAUUAUCUUCUUAGAGGGAUAAGCGGUAGUCCUAGCCGCACGAGAAUGAGCAAUAACAGGUCUGUGAUGCCCUUAGAUGUUCUGGGCCGCACGCGCGCUACACUGAAGGGAUCAGAAUGUUUUCCCCCUCCGAAAGGAGCGGGUAACCCGAUGAAACCCCUUCGUGAUAGGGAUUGGGGCUUGUAAUUAUUUCCCAUGAACGAGGAAUUCCCAGUAAGCGCAGAUCAAGAGUUUGCGUUGAUUACGUCCCUGCCCUUUGUACACACCGCCCGUCGCUACUACCGAUUGAAUGAUUUAGUGAGGCCUUCGGACUGUCGCUCUUGGAUAUCUUGGCUUAAUGCUAGUUCCUAGAGCUGACGGAAAGAUGUCCAAACUUGAUCAUUUAGAGGAAGUAAAAGUCGUAACAAGGUUUCC
rnacentral:rRNA from 1 species